CCCUCAUGUCCCGGAAGUAUAUGACCUCCCCCAUGCCCCAGAAGUAUAUGACCUCCCCCAUGCCCUGAAAGUAUAUGAUCCUGGGUAAGGGGUCUCUCUGCAGGAGAGAGUUUUUCAUCAUGUCUGGAGCUGGAGGCCUUCGGUUGCUGCUGAUCAACAAGACAUUCCUCGAAGAGGAAUCUUGAAGCAAACCUCCAGAUCAACCACAAAGAGCAUGAGCUUCAGAGUUAGAUGACUCAGGUUCAAGACCUGAUUCUGCCAUUUUGGAGUCUGGGCAGAAGUGGUUGGAUUUGACCUUGUUACUUCAAAGCGUACAAUGCACUCUUAAAGAUAAAGGAAAACAUCGCUGCCUCAAAACAAAUGGACCGCUGGCUCCAAGCAAUCAUUUGAAGUCAUGUUUUUACCUGCCUGAAAUUGCCGUGUCUGGCAUAGAAAGGUGCAAGCUGCAUGAGUACAAGGAGGACAGAAGCUCACAAAUCUCAGCGUUGCAGAGUGGCUGCUUGUCGCAUGGUGUCACCUGACCCCAAGGACAAGUCCCUAAGUACCUCCUAGGAAGAGAACCUGCUGGCUAAGUGCACCAAGACAUCUGGUAUGUUGGGAGGUGAGACCCUGAUGUUGCCUUAAGAUCUCUGAGCAUGACAUCAAGUGCUACCCCUCUCUCCUGUGAUGUCUCCCCAUUCUUGGUGACUCUUGCCUUACUACCGAUUCUGCACGCUGACUCGGCACCCUUGCUCCGUUUGCUGAUACUGGUCAUUCCUCUUUUAAGCUACUCUCCACUACACUUGAGUGCAUCCUAAUAAGCAUUAUCCUGUUCUACUCGACUCAUCUCCGACUUGCUGAAGGUGGUCUCAGGAUGCAGACGUGCUGGGGUGUUGGAAGUCUUUGAAGAAGUGUGGAGCUAAUAGCCCAUAUAUAAUUCGGGAGAAGAAAUCUUCAAUGGAAGACCCCCGGGGGAUAAAUGGACAGUCUGUAAG